GACAGAGGCCCCAAGCGUUAGGCGGAAUCACUGGGCUUAAAGCGUGUGUAGGCGGACGCCUCCGUGUCUUGUGAAAUCCCACGGCUCACCCGUGGAACUGCUGGGCAUACUGGGCGUCUUGGGCCAACUAGGGGCAGCCGGAACAAGCGGUGGAGCGGUGAAAUGCGUAGAUAUCGCUUGGAACACCGAAGGUGAAAACAGGCUGCUGGGGUUGUGCCGACGCUGAGACACGAAAGCCAGGGGAGCAAACGGG
rnacentral:rRNA from 1 species